AGCGUUGUUCGGAUUCAUUGGGCGUAAAGGGUGCGUAGGCGGCGCGGUAAGUCGGGGGUGAAAUCUCGGAGCUUAACUCCGAAACUGCAUUCGAUACUGCCGUGCUUGAGGACUGGAGAGGAGACUGGAAUUUACGGUGUAGCGGUGAAAUGCGUAGAUAUCGUAAGGAAGACCAGUGGCGAAGGCGGGUCUCUGGACAGUUCCUGACGCUGAGGCACGAAGGUCAGGGGAGCAAACGGG
rnacentral:rRNA from 1 species